CUUCCGUAGGGUGAACCUGCGGAAGGAUCAUUAUCGAGUUUUGACUGGGUUGUAGCUGGCCUUCCGAGGCAUGUGCACGCCCUGCUCAUCCACUCUACACCUGUGCACUUACUGUGGGCUUCAGAUCGUAAAACGGGUCCCUUUACCGGGCUUGCGGAGCGUGUCUGUGCCUGCGUUUAUCACAAACUCUAUAAAGUAUCAGAAUGUGUAUUGCGAUGUAACGCAUCUAUAUACAACUUUCAGCAACGGAUCUCUUGGCUCUCGCAUCGAUGAAGAACGCAGCGAAAUGCGAUAAGUAAUGUGAAUUGCAGAAUUCAGUGAAUCAUCGAAUCUUUGAACGCACCUUGCGCUCCUUGGUAUUCCGAGGAGCAUGCCUGUUUGAGUGUCAUGAAAUCUUCAACCUGCAAGCUUUUGUGGUUUGUAGGCUUGGACUUGGAGGUUUGUCGGCCGUUUUUGGUCGGCUCCUCUUAAAUGCAUUAGCUUGGUUCCUUGCGGAUCGGCUCUCAGUGUGAUAAUGUCUACGCUGCGACCGUGAAGCGUUUGGCGAGCUUCUAACCGUCUCAGUUGGAGACAACUUUAUGACCUCUGACCUCAAAUCAGGUAGGACUACCCGCUGAACUUAAGCAUAUCAAUAAGCGGAGGAA
rnacentral:rRNA from 1 species